rnacentral:rRNA from 2 species
GUCAGACGAACGCUGGCGGCAUGCCUAAUACAUGCAAGUCGAGCGAACAGAUGAAGUGCUUGCACUUCUGACGUAGCGGCGAACGGGUGAGUAACACGUAAGGAAUCUACCUAUAAGCGGGGGAUAACAUUCGGAAACGGGUGCUAAUACCGCAUAAUAUCUUCUUCCGCAUGGAAGAAGAUUGAAAGACGGCUCUGCUGUCACUUAUAGAUGACCUUGCGGUGCAUUAGUUAGUUGGUGGGGUAACGGCCUACCAAGACGAUGAUGCAUAGCCGACCUGAGAGGGUGAUCGGCCACAUUGGGACUGAGACACGGCCCAAACUCCUACGGGAGGCAGCAGUAGGGAAUCUUCCGCAAUGGGCGAAAGCCUGACGGAGCAAUGCCGCGUGAGUGAAGAAGGCCUUCGGGUCGUAAAACUCUGUUAUAAGAGAAGAACAAAUUGUAGAGUAACUGCUACAGUCUUGACGGUAUCUUAUCAGAAAGCCACGGCUAACUACGUGCCAGCAGCCGCGGUAAUACGUAGGUGGCAAGCGUUGUCCGGAUUUAUUGGGCGUAAAGGGAGCGCAGGUGGUUUCUUAAGUCUGAUGUGAAAGCCCACGGCUUAACCGUGGAGGGUCAUUGGAAACUGGGAAACUUGAGUACAGAAGAGGAAUGUGGAACUCCAUGUGUAGCGGUGGAAUGCGUAGAUAUAUGGAAGAACACCAGUGGCGAAGGCGACAUUCUGGUCUGUUACUGACACUGAGGCUCGAAAGCGUGGGGAGCAAACAGGAUUAGAUACCCUGGUAGUCCACGCCGUAAACGAUGAGUGCUAGGUGUUGGAGGGUUUCCGCCCUUCAGUGCCGCAGUUAACGCAUUAAGCACUCCGCCUGGGAGACAUCGCAGUUGG